rnacentral:rRNA from 1 species
CAAGGAAUUUUCCCCAAUGGGCGCAAGCCUGAGGGAGCAACGCCGCGUGCAGGACGACGGCCUUCGGGUUUUAAACUGCUUUUGCGUGGGACGAUAACGACGGUACCACGCGAAUCAGCCCCGGCUAACACUGAGCCAGCAGCCGCGGUAAUACAGAGGGGGCAAGCGUUGUCCGGACUUACAGGGCGUAAAGCGCGGGCAGGUGGCCCGGUAAGUCGGCUGUGAAAACCCCUGGCUCAACCAGGGAAGUGCAGUCGAUACUGGCGGGCUCGAGUCCCGGAGAGGGUGGUAGAAUUCCCAGUGUAGAGGUGAAAUUCGUAGAUAUUGGGAGGAAUACCGGUGGCGAAGGCGACCGCCUGGACGGGUACUGACACUGAGGCGCGAAAGCGUGGGGAGCAAACAGGAUUAGAUACCCCCGUAGUCC